rnacentral:rRNA from 1 species
CCUUUUAUCUAUUCAUAACGGAGGAAAGAACCCAACAGGGAUUGCCCUAGUAACGGCGAGUGAAGCGGCAACAGCUCAAAUUUGAAAUCUGGCGUCUUCGGCGUCCGAGUUGUAAUUUGCAGAGGGCGCUUUGGCAUUGGCAGCGGUCCAAGUUCCUUGGAACAGGACGUCACAGAGGGUGAGAAUCCCGUACGUGGUCGCUAGCCUUUACCGUGUAAAGCCCCUUCGACGAGUCGAGUUGUUUGGGAAUGCAGCUCUAAAUGGGAGGUAAAUUUCUUCUAAAGCUAAAUACUGGCCAGAGACCGAUAGCGCACAAGUAGAGUGAUCGAAAGAUGAAAAGCACUUUGGAAAGAGAGUUAAAAAGCACGUGAAAUUGUUGAAAGGGAAGCGCUUGCAGCCAGACUUGCCUGUAGUUGCUCAUCCGGGUUUCUACCCGGUGCACUCUUCUAUAGGCAGGCCAGCAUCAGUUUGGGCGGUUGGAUAAAGGUCUCUGUCAUGUACCUCCUUUCGGGGAGAUCUUAUAGGGGAGACGACAUGCAACCAGCCUGGACUGAGGUCCGCGCAUCUGCUAGGAUGCUGGCGUAAUGGCUGUAAGCGGCCCGUCUUGAAACACGGACCAAGGAGUCUAACAUCUAUGCGAGUGUUUGGGUGUCAAGCCCGAACGCGUAAUGAAAGUGAACGGAGGUGGGAACCUUUCGGGGUGCACCAUCGACCGAUCCUGAUGUCUUCGGAUGGAUUUGAGUAAGAGCAUAGCUGUUGGGACCCGAAAGAUGGUGAACUAUGCUUGAAUAGGGUGAAGCCAGAGGAAACUCUGGUGGAGGCUCGCAGCGGUUCUGACGUGCAAAUCGAUCGUCAAAUUUGGGCAUAGGGGCGAAAGACUAAUCGAACUAUCUAUAGCUGGUCUCAGAACCCCCCCCCC